UGACUUUUUCGUUCUAUUAGGGUUUAGCUACCAUUUUACUUUCAUUUUUCUAUUCGAAAUUUUGGAUUUCCAUCUUUCCUGUUUUUUUUUUCAUUUGUUGUUUGGAUGUUUGAGAUGCUCUGUCUAUUGGUGUUGUUAGUGAGCACACAUUGACAAUCGGUGUUGCUCGUAUGUAAAGCUCCCCCACCUUCAAUAAGGUAGCAAAAAGGGUGGGAGCUCUUAACGAGGGGUUAAAAGAAAAAAGUGAGCACACAUUAACUUUUUUUCAUGAAGGAUGUUUCUCUUUGCUGUUUAGGAUUUAGCUUCAAAUUUUUUGGUUUCCAUCUCUCCUGGAAAAUAAUUUUGUUGUUUCGGAUGUUUGAGAUGCUCUAUGUAUCAUGUAUGGGAGUUGUUAGUACGGCCCAGUUCUCCGCAAAGUCGUAAAAUCAUGUAUGGGGGCUGAAGCCUGUCCAGUUCCGGAAGGUCAAGGAAGUUGGUGACCUGAUGAUAGGGGAGACCAAAGCCCCGGUGAAGGGCAGUCUAACUUUAACGGUUCUAAGGUGGUGAAAAUCCUUAGCGGGGUUGCUCAUAUGGGAGACCGAAGCCCCAGUGAACGGCAGACGUAACUUUAACGGUUCUAAGGUGGCGAAAUUCCUUAAGCGGGGUUGCUUGCAGGGGCAGCAGUGGCUCAUUGGCAGAAAAUUAUAUGAACAAAGAAAUUGAAAGAAAAUUAUGAUAACGUGAAAUAUCAAUUGCUUAGUGUCAUCUCUUCAGCAGAGGCUCACAUUGAUAAGUAUUAGAACCUUGAUGACGAUACUGAAGCGCAAAUAAAGCGAGGCAAAGUGCUCUUUGAGCCUUGCUUUAGGGCUUAAGCACACCUUUUUCACGGUGCUUGAACAGUUCAAGUGUUUGGAGUUGAGUGAAGAUAGGUUGUGGUGACUGAAAAAUGCUAAAGGGAUCUACAUUGCCAAAGAUUCUUUAUGUGUUGCUGAUAAGAGCUCCCAAAAUGAUAGAGUGUAGGGAUAGCUAUCUCUCGAGCACUGGUUUAGGUUCGGCCUCAAUGGGAAAAUAAAAUGGAGCACCUAGCACCUAACAACACAUCUUCGCAUACCAAGAACUACGAGAUCACCACUUUCAUUCUGGAGUGAUGGAGGGAUUGUACCAUUUGAGCUGUUUUUUUCUUGACUCAAAAUCGAAAUGGGAGCAGGUUUGAAAAGAAUCUUAGAGUGUCUAGAGUUGGACCAGGAGGGUCUCUUAACGCCUUCUUUUUAUUCGCAUCGGAGUUAUUUGACAAAGACUUGCCAGGGUAAGGAAGAAGGGGG